rnacentral:lncRNA from 1 species
CGAGCCUCCCAGGAUUCUCAAACAGAAGCAGCCUGCCAGGCUGAGCCAUCCAGAAGCCCAUAAGCUGGAACACUAAUGUGGCAAUGACCAAGUUUUAGCCGUAGAGAUGAGGCCAACACCCUGUGGAACACCGGAGCAAAGUAACAAGAUAGAGCAGAACUGAGUCCCCGAAUGACCUUGUGGAGCUGAGCUAUCCCAGCAGCCUCAACUGCCACCUACAUCCGCACCGUCACAGGAGAGAGAAAUACAAUUAUAUUUUAAGAUUGAUCUUAUAUAAAUCACUGUGUUUUUGGGGUCUCUGCACUUUAACUUAGUUAUUUAGACAUCAUUUCCUCUGGGAAGCUUCCCUAAGAGCUCUGUCUGAAGUCCCGACGUGCGUGUUUGGUGCUAAUGCUCUCACCACACUCCACAUGGUAUCACAGUGACCUCCGUGCAUGUUAGUGUGUCCCUAGUGAACUAUAAGAUUCCUGAGGGCAAAGGCCACACCAGUUUCAUUUUUCAUAUCCCCCAGAGUAAUCAGCACAGUGUCCUGUGCAUGGAAGUCAUAUUUGUUGAAGAAAUAAGAGAAUAAACAGUACUUGCCACUCAAAUAUUCUUUUCAGAGGUGAAACAAAGAUAGCAGCAGCAAAGUCAAUACACACCAUAGUUAAACAGAAACAAGAGAGAAAGCAGCUGGCAAAUAAGAGGUCCAGUGUGCUGAACUGGGGGUGCUAAUUCUCCAAAAAUAAAUGUAUUGUGGCAACAAAGCCUGAGGAGACUUAGGGGAAAACACAGAUGGUUACUGCAGCCCUGGAUCAGAGCCUUCCCUCCACUCAGUGACCCUGUGUCCCUCAGAAGACCCAGGUGGAGGUGGCCACGUGCUCUCAGCACCUGGACUAUCACUUCUGCAGACUGGACAACCAUGCUGUGGGCACUUGUCCAUAGAGCCAGACCUGGAAAUACAGUUUCUCAGAGGUACCCGGAGAGGGGCACCAACUGUGUUCUCCCAGGCCAUCCCAGAAAAGUGGAAGAAGAGAGCAUUUCACAGACCAUCAGGAAAACACUCAACCAUAAGGGUGUAGGGCCUGGGGCCAGACUGUCGGGUUUGAAACCCAGCUCUGCCGCUUAUCAGCUGAGCAAACUUGGAUGAGUGACUUCACCUCUCUAAACCUCCAUUUCCUCACAGAGAUGAUAAUAUUGC